rnacentral:rRNA from 1 species
UACGUAGGGGGCAAGCGUUGUCCGGAUUUAUUGGGCGUAAAGAGCGUGUAGGCGGCUAGGUAGGUCCGUUGUGAAAACUCGAGGCUCACCUCGAGACGUCGAUGGAAACCUGUGUGCUAGAGUCCGGAAGAGGAGAGUGGAAUUCCUGGUGUAGCGGUGAAAUGCGCAGAUAUCAGGAAGAACACCUAUGGCGAAGGCAGCUCUCUGGGACGGUACUGACGCUGAGACGCGAAAGCGUGGGGAGCGAACAGG